rnacentral:rRNA from 1 species
UACGAAGGGUGCAAGCGUUACUCGGCAUUACUGGGCGUAAAGCGUGCGUAGGUGGUUGUUUAAGUCUGUCGUGAAAGCCCUGGGCUCAACCUGGGAAUUGCGUUGGAUACUGGCAGGCUAGAGUGUGGCAGAGGGUAGUGGAAUUCCUGGUGUAGCAGUGAAAUGCGUAGAGAUCAGGAGGAACAUCCGUGGCGAAGGCGACUGCCUGGGCCAACACUGACACUGAGGCACGAAAGCGUGGGGAGCAAACAGGAUUAGAUACCCUGGUAGUCCACGCCCUAAACGAUGCGAACUGGAUGUUGGGUGCAAUUUGGCACGCAGUAUCGAAGCUAACGCGUUAAGUUCGCCGCCUGGGGAGUACGGUCGCAAGACUGAA